rnacentral:rRNA from 1 species
UGGAAAAGGAUGUGGGAUUUCAAAGACAACUAGGAUGUUGGCUUAGAAGCAGCCACUCAUUAAAAGAGUGCGUAAUAGCUCACUAGUCGAGAGAUCCUGCGCCGAAGAUGUUCGGGGCUCAAACUUACCACCGAAGCUACGGGCUUACAGUAAUGUAAGCGGUAGAGGAGCGUCGUAAACGGGCAGAAGUCGUACCGAAAGGAGCGGUGGACUGUUUACGAGUGAGAAUGUUGGCAUUAGUAGCGAGAUGUGAGUGAGAAUCUCACAGGCCGAAAACCUAAGGUUUCCUCAGGAAGGCUCGUCCGCUGAGGGUUAGUCGGGACCUAAGCCGAGGCCGAAAGGCGUAGGUGAUGGACAAUAGGUUGAUAUUCCUAUACCACUACCAUCGUUAUUACCGAUGGCGUGACGCAGGAGGAUAGUGUGUGCUAGCUAUUGGAUGCUAGUCUAAGCACUUAGGGAGUUAAGACAGGAAAAUCCGUUUUAACAAUUCUGAGGUGUGAUGGGGAAGUCCAUUUAUGGAUGAAGUACAUGAUUCCACGCUGCCAAGAAAAGCGUCUAGGGAGAAAAGUAGUGCCCGUACCGCAAACCGACACAGGUAGGUGAGGAGAGAAUCCUAAGGCCGGCGGAAGAAUUGCAGUUAAGGAACUCGGCAAAUUGACCCCGUAACUUCGGGAGAAGGGGUGCCUACGAGAGUAGGUCGCAGAGAAUAGGCCCAAGCAACUGUUUAGCAAAAACACAGGUCUCUGCUAAAGCGAAAGCUGAAGUAUAGGGGCUGACGCCUGCCCGGUGCUGGAAGGUUAAGGGGAAUACUUAGCGCAAGCGAAGGUAUGAACUUAAGCCCCAGUAAACGGCGGCCGUAACUAUAACGGUCCUAAGGUAGCGAAAUUCCUUGUCGGGUAAGUUCCGACCCGCACGAAUGGCGUAAUGAUUUGAGCACUGUCUCGACAACAAAUCCGGCGAAAUUGUAGUGCAAGUGAAGAUGCUUGCUACCCGCGAUUGGACGGAAAGACCCCGUAGAGCUUUACUGUAGCUUAGCAUUGAGUUUCGGUAUUGUCUGUACAGGAUAGGUGGGAGACUUGGAAACAGGGGCGUUAGCCUCUGCGGAGUCAUCCUUGGGAUACCACCCUGACAGUACUGAGAUUCUAACCGGCGGCCAUGAAUCUGGUCACGGGACAUUGUUAGGUGGGCAGUUUGACUGGGGCGGUCGCCUCCAAAAAAGUAACGGAGGCGCCCAAAGGUUCCCUCAGUACGGUCGGAAAUCGUUCGAAGAGUGCAAAGGCAGAAGGGAGCCUGACUGCGACACAUACAGGUGGAGCAGGGACGAAAGUCGGGCUUAGUGAUCCGGUGGUACCUCGUGGGAGGGCCAUCGCUCAACGGAUAAAAGCUACCUCGGGGAUAACAGGCUGAUCUCCCCCAAGAGUCCACAUCGACGGGGAGGUUUGGCACCUCGAUGUCGGCUCGUCGCAUCCUGGGGCUGAAGUAGGUCCCAAGGGUUGGGCUGUUCGCCCAUUAAAGCGGCACGCGAGCUGGGUUCAGAACGUCGUGAGACAGUUCGGUCCCUAUCCGUCGCGGGCGUAGGAAAUUUGAGAGGAGCUGUCCUUAGUACGAGAGGACCGGGAUGGACUGACCUCUGGUGUACCAGUUGUUCCGCCAGGAGCAUGGCUGGGUAGCUAUGUCGGGAAGGGAUAAACGCUGAAAGCAUCUAAGCGUGAAGCCCACCUCAAGAUUAGAUUUCCCAUAGCGUAAGCUAGUAAGACCCCUUGAAGAACACAAGGUUGAUAGGCUAGAGGUGUAAGUGUAGUAAUACAUUCAGCUGACUAGUACUAAUAGGUCGAGGGCUUGAUCU